CACCUGUCAGCCCUGCUGGAAGGUAUGCCUGUUUGAGAAUCAUAUUCAUCUGACCAUUCAUCCGUGAUUGGUCGACCUGGGCCCUCACCACUGAUCGCCUCGAAUUGCGCGCGGUCGUCAUGGCAUGUCACUCGACACUAUCGGCGACCACAAUUCACGCUCAUGAUCUCAAAUCAGGCAAGGCUACCCGCUGAACUUAA
rnacentral:misc_RNA from 1 species